rnacentral:rRNA from 1 species
CCCUUAGAUGUUCUGGGCCGCGCGCGCGCUACACUGACGAAUGCAACGAGCUUAUAACCUUGGCCGAAAGGUCUGGGUAAUCUCCAAAUUUCGUCGUGAUGGGGAUAGAUUAUUGCAAUUAUUAAUCUUCAACGAGGAAUGCCUAGUAAGCGCAAGUCAUCAGCUUGCGUUGAUUACGUCCCUGCCCUUUGUACACACCGCCCGUCGCUCCUACCGAUUGAAUGGUCCGGUGAAGCGCUCGGACCGCGGCCUCUUGACGGUUCGCUGUCGAUUGGCUGUGGGAAGUUCGUUAAACCUUAUCAUUUAGAGGAAGGAGAAGUCGUAACA